rnacentral:rRNA from 1 species
UGAGGAAUAUUGGUCAAUGGGUGCAAGCCUGAACCAGCCAUCCCGCGUGAAGGACGACUGCCCUAUGGGUUGUAAACUUCUUUUGUAUAGGGAUAAACCUACCCUCGUGAGGGUAGCUGAAGGUACUAUACGAAUAAGCACCGGCUAACUCCGUGCCAGCAGCCGCGGUAAUACGGAGGGUGCAAGCGUUAUCCGGAUUUAUUGGGUUUAAAGGGUCCGUAGGCGGACUUAUAAGUCAGUGGUGAAAGCCUGUCGCUUAACGAUAGAACUGCCAUUGAUACUGUAAGUCUUGAGUAUAUUUGAGGUAGCUGGAAUAAGUAGUGUAGCGGUGAAAUGCAUAGAUAUUACUUAGAACACCAAUUGCGAAGGCAGGUUACCGAAGAUAUAACUGACGCUGAGGGACGAAAGCGUGGGAGCGAACAGGAUUAGAUACCCUGGUAGUCCACGCCGU